GAAGUGCUGCAGACUGACCAAUUUGAGAUCACCCAAAACUGAGCCCUCUCUUGUGUUGUCUUGAUGGUCAGAAAGUGCUUCCUGUUUUGGGUGUUAUCGAUUGGAAAGUUCAACCCUUGACAUU
rnacentral:precursor_RNA from 14 species